UACCUACGGGGGGCAGCAGUGGGGAAUAUUGCACAAUGGGGGAAACCCUGAUGCAGCGACGCCGCGUGAGCGAUGAAGUAUUUCGGUAUGUAAAGCUCUAUCAGCAGGGAAGAGAAUGACGGUACCUGACUAAGAAGCCCCGGCUAACUACGUGCCAGCAGCCGCGGUAAUACGUAGGGGGCAAGCGUUAUCCGGAUUUACUGGGUGUAAAGGGAGCGUAGACGGCUGUGCAAGCCAGAUGUGAAAGCUCGGGACCCAACCCCGGGACUGCAUUUGGAACUGCGGGGCUUGAGUGUCGGAGAGGC
rnacentral:rRNA from 1 species